UACGAAGGGGGCUAGCGUUGCUCGGAAUCACUGGGCGUAAAGCGCACGUAGGCGGCUUUUUAAGUCAGGGGUGAAAUCCUGGAGCUCAACUCCAGAACUGCCUUUGAUACUGAGAGCUUGAGUCCGGGAGAGGUGAGUGGAACUGCGAGUGUAGGAGGUGAAAUUCGUAGAUAUUCGCAAGAACACCAGUGGCGAAGGCGGACUCACG
rnacentral:rRNA from 1 species